CGCGUAGGCGGUUCGCUAAGUUGGAUGUGAAAACUCUGGGCUUAACCCAGAGCCUGCAUCCAAAACUGGCGAACUUGAGUACUGGAGGGGAAAGCGGAAUUCCUGGUGUAGCGGUGAAAUGCGUAAAUAUCAGGAGGAACACCGGUGGCGAAGGCGGCUUUCUGGACAGUAACUGACGCUGAGGCGCGAAAGCUAGGGGAAGCAAACA
rnacentral:rRNA from 1 species